AUGGCUCAGGAUGAACGCUGGCGGCGUGCCUAAUACAUGCAAGUCGAGCGAACGGACGAGAAGCUUGCUUCUCUGAUGUUAGCGGCGGACGGGUGAGUAACACGUGGAUAACCUACCUAUAAGACUGGGAUAACUUCGGGAAACCGGAGCUAAUACCGGAUAAUAUUUUGAACCGCAUGGUUCAAAAGUGAAAGACGGUCUUGCUGUCACUUAUAGAUGGAUCCGCGCUGCAUUAGCUAGUUGGUAAGGUAACGGCUUACCAAGGCAACGAUGCAUAGCCGACCUGAGAGGGUGAUCGGCCACACUGGAACUGAGACACGGUCCAGACUCCUACGGGAGGCGGCAGUAGGGAAUCUUCCGCAAUGGGCGAAAGCCUGACGGAGCAACGCCGCGUGAGUGAUGAAGGUCUUCGGAUCGUAAAACUCUGUUAUUAGGGAAGAACAUAUGUGUAAGUAACUGUGCACAUCUUGACGGUACCUAAUCAGAAAGCCACGGCUAACUACGUGCCAGCAGCCGCGGUAAUACGUAGGUGGCAAGCGUUAUCCGGAAUUAUUGGGCGUAAAGCGCGCGUAGGCGGUUUUUUAAGUCUGAUGUGAAAGCCCACGGCUCAACCGUGGAGGGUCAUUGGAAACUGGAAAACUUGAGUGCAGAAGAGGAAAGUGGAAUUCCAUGUGUAGCGGUGAAAUGCGCAGAGAUAUGGAGGAACACCAGUGGCGAAGGCGACUUUCUGGUCUGUAACUGACGCUGAUGUGCGAAAGCGUGGGGAUCAAACAGGAUUAGAUACCCUGGUAGUCCACGCCGUAAACGAUGAGUGCUAAGUGUUAGGGGGUUUCCGCCCCUUAGUGCUGCAGCUAACGCAUUAAGCACUCCGCCUGGGGAGUACGACCGCAAGGUUGAAACUCAAAGGAAUUGACGGGGACCCGCACAAGCGGUGGAGCAUGUGGUUUAAUUCGAAGCAACGCGAAGAACCUUACCAAAUCUUGACAUCCUUUGACAACUCUAGAGAUAGAGCUUUCCCCUUCGGGGGACAAAGUGACAGGUGGUGCAUGGUUGUCGUCAGCUCGUGUCGUGAGAUGUUGGGUUAAGUCCCGCAACGAGCGCAACCCUUAAGCUUAGUUGCCAUCAUUAAGUUGGGCACUCUAAGUUGACUGCCGGUGACAAACCGGAGGAAGGUGGGGAUGACGUCAAAUCAUCAUGCCCCUUAUGAUUUGGGCUACACACGUGCUACAAUGGACAAUACAAAGGGCAGCGAAACCGCGAGGUCAAGCAAAUCCCAUAAAGUUGUUCUCAGUUCGGAUUGUAGUCUGCAACUCGACUACAUGAAGCUGGAAUCGCUAGUAAUCGUAGAUCAGCAUGCUACGGUGAAUACGUUCCCGGGUCUUGUACACACCGCCCGUCACACCACGAGAGUUUGUAACACCCGAAGCCGGUGGAGUAACCUUUUAGGAGCUAGCCGUCGAAGGUGGGACAAAUGA
rnacentral:rRNA from 1 species